GUAGUUUAAGGACAAACAGACAGAUUUCUAUGUCUUUGCUUUUCUUUCAUUCACUCGCCAAACUGAGGUUAAACCAGACGGAGACCUGAAACAGGAGAUGGUGUUACAUGGGAUGGGGAGAAACAUAAAGCCAUUGAUUCCUUCACUCUUGGGCUUGGUCUCUUGAGGAAUUCUUGCAUCCAACACACAACAGACUAUGCUGACCUUCCUGGAAUCUGCCUUCUUGAUGGACAGUAAGAAGAAAACGUGGGUACUUGUAACCCAGGUUGUCAGGAAAAAUAAUCCAGGGAAGAUUUGACCCAGAGACUCCAGAUCCAGUAUCCCUUAUUUCCUAUCCUGCUACCCUCUGGGAAUACUAUCCUCAGGCAAAACGAUGCUAGCAAGAUGGCUGCCAGCAACUCCAGGCUGAUAUUUUUCAUGUCUUAGUCAAGUGAAAAGGAAAGGAAAAGCCUUCCUGAAGCUUCUACCUAGGUCCCUGCGUUUAUUUGGAUCGCCCCAUCUUACUUCAUGUGUUCAUUCUUGAAACAACUAUGAUUGGAAAGGCUUGAUCACAUGACCUGAUUCUGGAGCAGAAGGUGGAGACUAAGACACAACCCAGAAUGCUUUUCAUUCCUUACUGCCCCCUCCCCUGGCUGUGUAUGUGUGGCACACACACACACACACACACACACACACACAGACAGGCAGGUACAUAAUGCAGGUCAAUACAUGUGCAAAUCAAACAUGUUUAUUUUUGAGACAGGCUCUCAUUGACCUGGAGUGCACUCAUUCAGCUAGUCCUGCUGGCUACUGAGUCCCAGGGAUCUGCCUGCCUCUGCCUCUCUAGUGCUGGGAUCACAGAUACCUGCCUCCAUGUUCGGCUUUUGUCACCUGAGUUCUGGGGAUUGAACCCAUGUGAGUUGGCAGCAGGCACUUUACCAAAUGAAACAUCUCCUAGACCCUGUGGUUGUUUUCUAAAGCAACUGAGGUCACUAGUGGAGGGGUGGAGAGUCGGUGGGAAGAAAAAGAAAAGGUCAGGACAGGAAGUGGAAAGGUGAGGGGUAAACUUUUUUAAGUAAGAAAGGAAAAGCUAAGAAUACCAAAGGAGAUAUACCAAAGAAGGGACAGAAACCUUUUAUUCUUUCUACAGAAAUAUGAAAAAUGAAUUGCUUCCACUGAGCACUUUUGGCUGUUGGAAAUAGAAGGUAAAAAAUGGGGAAAGGAACCAACCCCCUCAUGUUGAUUAGAUAAAGCCCCUCCCCCAGCCUGCCACUGACCAGUCACCUGGCCAUCAAAUUUCUGGUUGUAGGAGAGAAAUGUGGAGGUCAUCCACUACGGUGAUCAUGGAAGGCUUGGCCUAUCUUAAGGCCCAGACACAGAGCUAGAACCCACUGGGCUUCAGCUCCUGAACGUCUCCCAGCAGCAGAGCACUUUUCUCUUGCAAUAAACCACUGCCUCUCA